UUUAGCACUUGGUUCUGUUGGCUGGGAAAUUCAGGAUCAGGCAGCUGUAUCUGGUGGGUUCUCAUGACUGCCUCAUGCUGCAUCAAAACAUCGUAGAGAAACAGAAGGGGACCGAGUUUGUGCAAACAAAAAGCGCAAAAUAGAAGAGGCAGCACUGUUUUAUAACAACUCACUCUCUUGGGAACUAACCAUUCCCAGGAGAACCCAGUCUCAGUGUCAAGAGAAAGAUGUUAAUCCAUCUUAGCAACCUAAUUACCUCUUAAAAGCAGCAUCUCCCAACACUAUUACAUUGGCAAUUGAACUACAACGUGAGUUUUGGAGGGGCCAAACAACAUCCAAACCAUAGCAGCAGGUUUAAAGGUAAAAGGAUGGGAGAAAAGUACACAGAAAGAUAUUCUGGAGAAAAGGCACAGAGUGAGCCAAGGCACAAGGUAAAAUGUUUGACUGGUUAGAGACGCUAGAUUAUUUUGUGUGGCUAAGACAAAACAAAGCUGGUGGGGAGUGGCAGGAGGUAAGUCUAGAAUGGCACAAUGGGGCCAGACUGCGAAUGGCAAACUGAAGUAUGUGAUCUUUUAUUCUAAAGAAAAUGUAGUAUGAUUAGCACAAAAAAAAGAAAAAUUAUUGGCCGGGCGCAGUGGCCCAUGCCUGUAAUCCCAGCACUUUGGGAGGCCGAGGAGGGUGGAUCAUGAGGUCAGGAGUUCAAGACGGUGAAACUCCAUCUCUACUAAAAACACAAAAAUUAGCCAGGAGCUGUGGCAGGUGCCUGUAAUCCCAGCUACUCAGUAGGCUGAGGCAGGAGAAUCACUUGAACCCGGGAGGUGGAGGUUGCAGUGAGCUGAGAUCGCGCCACUGCACUCUAGCCUGGGCGACAGAGCAAGACUAAAAAUAAAAAUGAAAAAAUUAUUAUCCAUGGUAUUAUCAUGGUAGUACUGACUAAAAGAGGGACACGUGUAACAAAAUCAGUAAGGAGGGUACUCCAAGAAUCCAUGUUAAAGUUAAUGAGGGCUCGAACCCAAACAUAAAGGAUGGAAAUGAUGUAAUAAAAUACCUUUUGAAAGUUAUAUUUAAAAAUUUUUGGUGAAUAGUCUAGUUAGAGGUGAAAGAAGAAAGCAGAGGAGUCUAAUGCAAUGCGUGACUUGUAGCUCAGGUAAAGGGGUGGCAGGUGACGCUUAAAUACUAGAAAUAUAAGAAGCAGCACAGGUUUGGUUUUAUCUGUGAGAACAAUGGAGUGGAGGUAUGCUUUAGAUGCAAUUAUUUAUGGGAUAUUCAAAACAGAUAUCUAUGAAGCAAAAAACUUGGGCCCAAAAAACAAGUUUGAAGGUAUAUUUGGGAGUUACCAGUAAUAUAGGUAACUGUUGAAGCUCUAAAUAUAGAAGACAAACUAGAGGAGCUUGUUUCUUGAAGAAUUCUUGUCACACUUGACAUUUUUUACAGAGAUUUCUUAAAACAGGGGCAUAUCUUCUUUGGCUAACAUAUGCAGACUAAAAUGAAAGAGUAUAGUAUAUUAUAAAAUCAAUAAAAGGUAAGAUAAAUUGAGGCCUAAAAAUAAAGAAUAAAUACACUCAGUUGAUUCUGAAGCUCUAAUUUACAGAUGCAAAAUUGUACCAGUACAUUAACUCAUAUGUCAAAACAACAUCUAGAGAAACAAAAAAUGAAAGUAAAAUGGAAAAAGAUAAAAGAAGAGAGGCAAGGAGAAGAGAAUGGGCAAAAGGAGAUAGGAAAAACAGGAAUUUUUUUUUAAAGGGCUAAAAUUUUAGUGAAUCAGAUGUGGAAAACAGUUGGAUUAACAUUGAGAUCAAAUGAGAAAGGAGCAAAUAAGGAAAGAUGUAUUACAAACCAAGAGUAAAAAAGGGAAAACAAAAUAACAAAAGCAAAAACUAUUUAAAAAGAAUAAAGGAAGACGUGAUAAUGAAGUAAAUUUAAAAAGUACGGAAUAAUAAAAAGAAAUUGCAAAAAAUACCUUUUGAAAAUAAACAUACUAAUAACUUGACAAUAAAGUGAAAUGUGUAAGACAAACAUAUCUGUGUCAUUAUUUAGGAGUAGUGAAAAGUACUCUUAAAUAAUAAUUUGGUAUCUAGCAGGCCUGGAUUUGAAUCUACUUUAACUUGCUAGCUAUGUGACCUUGGGCAAGCAAAGAAACUCCUCAUAACCAUUGUAAUAAUACCACCAAAAUGCCUUACACUUACGGCUCAAAAAAUGAAGGAAAUGAGAGAAAAAAGUAUAGAUUACUAUAUGGAAGUCAAAUUUCUAGUGACUUUUCUAAUCCAAACAUGAAUUGUUACAGUACUUGAAAUAAACUUUAUGAGAACUGAGUGACUACAUUGCUUCAGAUAGUUUUAUACUGCUAGGUCAACGCUGCCUGACAGUAAUAAGAACAGGAUGUGGGAUUCAAUAUGCUCAUUCUAUCUCAAACUCUGUCACACAUACAAUGACUGCUAUUUACCUUCCUCCUGAGCCAUCUGGGAAAAAACCAACCAACCAAACAAACAAACAAAAGAAAAACCCACCAGGUAGGAGUCAGUUAGUUCUGCUAACUAACUAACCAAAAACCUUAAUUGUAUGGCCACCAGCACCCUAGCCCUUUGUCAUGAAAGCUACCAAUAAGGUGGAAAUUUAAAAUAUGAAAUAUUUCAUUAUACAUGUUUUAUUAAACCCUACAUGUGCAGAAAUGAUUGUCCAUUUUCCUUCUUAACUUGCUUUUGUAAGACUUAUUAAGUAGAAAAUAUAAAUCUCAAGCUCCUUAAAUGUGAUUUUGAGGAACUGAGACCAAAACAAUUUUUUGCUGUGGAACCAGAUCCUUGAAUGCACUACAGGAAAAUAUUAUUUGAUAUGAAAUUUUUUUGGUACACACAAUUUUUCAAAAAUAUAUCUCUCUCCACAAAGUUAAUUCAAAUUGUAGAAUUCUUCCAAGUCACAAAUGGAGUUUUCAAGGCUCUGGGUACUUACCUUUGAGUUCCACAUCCUUUAUCUCUGGAGCUCUUAACUGAGGGAACAUGGACCAUUAGGUCAUGAACAGACUUUGUAGUCUUUGAACAGCCUGAAACAGUAUGUGAUACUUGAUGUGCAUGUACACAGGAACAUUUUUCUAGAGUAAUGGCACAUACCUUUCAUCAGAUUUUCAAAGGUUUCUCAAAAUGCUCAAGAACCACUGUUAGAUAUUUAAAUAACCAGAGUGUACAGUGUCCAAAUAUUUCCAAAUUUUGACACUUGUAAGAUGUCUUAAUUAAAACAAGCCAUGAAGUUCAGCGUCACAAUAACCAGAAAAGCACUUGUGAGAGUAGUUCUAUGUCUUUACUUCCUAGUGGUUUACACACUCUUUAACCCAUAUGGCAAUCUGGCUUCUGUCUCCGGUGCUCUGGAAUUACUUCUGCCUGUAUGAUUAAGUUCCUCAUUGUUAAAUUCGAAAAUACAUUCUUUGGUAUUUAUUUGACCUCUUGGUGGUAAUAUAGUGUAAGAGCACAGACUCUGGAGCCAAACUGCCUAGGUUCAAAUCUUAGCUCUAUUACUUUCUAACUCUGUGACUUUGGGCAAAUGACUUAACUCUCUCAUGCCUCAAAGCAGAAUCCUUUGUAAGGUUUAUUUAUAUAGUGGUGUAAAGAGUACUUACUUCAAAAGCUUUGGUCAGUGUGAGAAAUAAGCUCCUAACAAAGAAAGUGUUAUGUAAUAGUUAUUAUCUGGUACCUCUGAUCACAUCAUUUUUGAAAAUCACUUGAAAUCUGCCUAAGUUUCAUUCUGCCUUUGAUGGCUCCUUAUUUUCAUCUCCCUACUUCAGGCUUCCUCCCUAAUAUAUCUUUUAUGCCAAUAUUAUGAUCACUUGAAACUAUAAAUCUGAUGCCAUCCUUGGCCACUACCAUUAAGAUGGUCUAAACUCCUCAGCAUGAUAGACAAGUCCCUUUAUGAUAGUGUACCCAUCUAGUUCUCAUUCCUCAAGUCUCCUCUGUUGUCUAUGCUUACCCUAUGGGCUAAGCUGAAUCAAGCUGUUACAUUUCCAAAACAUGCCUCACUGUCUUUAUUCAUGCCUUUGCACAUGCCAUUGACUCUUCCUAGAAUGCCCCAUUCUCCUUCUCUAGAAAGUCUUCUCUUAACAUACUUCUUCCCAAAAUAAAUUAGGUGUCCUUUCUUAAUAUGCCUCCAAUAACCCCAUACAGUAUUUAUCCCAUUCUAUUUUAGAUGCCAGUUUGGUUGAUGAUACAUUUCAUCUAGUCAGAUCUUCCCACUGCCUCUUAUAAAGAAAACCAGGAGCCAUAUUAUGAUAUUCUUGUUCUCUAAUUUUUCUGCUGCCCUGAUCUUAAACCACUUUCUUCUCCCUUUGUUGACAAUUACCCCACCCCUUAUUUCUUAAUUAGCUCAACAAGAUUAGAUAGAAAUGUAUCUACAAAGGAUAUAUGUAUAUAAAUUAACUAGAUAACAAAACUUCACACUGAAGUGAACAUUCUACAAGUAUUUCUUUCAUUGCUGACCAUUAGGUUGCAGCAUGCAACUCUCAACAAUGAGCUGCCCCUCUCCACUCCUAUAGAAGCUCCAAAUACUAUGGUACCACUAUGUAGGUUUUCAGCCUUUCAAAGGCUUUUAUUAUGAACUUCAUCAUUACUUCAGCAGGAGCCUUUUAGGGACUUAAAAGCACUGAUUAUCUAUAAAAAGUAACUUCAUAUUUCAUGCACAAAAUUCCCAAUUGGCAGAUUUAGGUCCAUAAAAGAAAGGAAAAAAAUUAUUCUAGCUAUAUAAAUUAUCAGGAAUAAAAUAGCAUUUCUCCUUGCCUUGUUAUAAGGAAAUAAUAUAUUUUUCCUUACCAGGAAUCAGGAUAGUAUCUUUGAUGAUCCCUCAGGGUUAUAAAAUUGCUUACUGGUUAAAGUUUUUUGCCAAAGAUAUUAAGAAAUAAAAAGUUCGCUCAUUUUCCUGUGCAAUUUAAAGAAAUAUUUGCAGUAUGUACAGGAAUUUUAAGUUAUAUUGCAGACCCUGGCAAUAAUAUUUAAAAGGCCUAUUUUCCCCAUUAAAAAAUUUACCCCAUUAAAAAAGGUAAAAGGAAAUCUCCAUCAUCCCUGAGCAGAAAAGGAAAAAAUCAUGGGUACUUUAAUUAGUUAAUAGAAACCACUGUAAAUGAGUUAUCUAUCUCCAGAACAUUCUCAGAGAAUUUACACGAACUAAAACAGGAAUGAAGUGCUCUCAGAGACUUUUUCUCAGGUAAAUGUAUUUAGUAGUUUGAGUAGUUGAUCUGCAGAAACUUUAACUUUAAUUAACUACAUAGAUGAAUAUUUUUUAUUUUGAAAUUUGAGAAUGUCCUAAGAGGAUGUCUACAGGAUACUGGAGUCUUGUUUAAAAGGCC
rnacentral:lncRNA from 10 species